UUGGCUUCCUGUCAUCCUAGUGAAACAUGGUGACUGAAGUUUCUGACACCUGUAUCUGGACUGGUCCAGCACAGGGCUACUGCAAGCAUUUGGAGAUGAAGC